rnacentral:rRNA from 1 species
UUUCGUGCCAGCCACCGCGGUGAUACGAUUAACCCGAGUUAACAGAAGAACGGCGUAAAGUGUGUUUAAGCAUUUAAAAUCCAAAAUAAAGUUAAAGAUCAAUUUAGCUGUAAUACGCCAAGGUUGAUAUUAAAAUACGCAACUUACGUGACUUUACCUAUUGUUGAAGACACUAAAGCUAAGGUACAAACUGGGAUUAGAGACCCCACUAUGCUUAGCCGUAAACCGAGGUAGUUGAAUAACAAAACUAUUCGCCAGAGAACUACAAGCCACUGCUUAAAACUCAAAGGACUUGGCGGUGCCCU